GAUGAAGAACGUAGCGAAAUGCGAUAAGUAAUGUGAAUUGCAGAAUUCAGUGAAUCAUCGAAUCUUUGAACGCACAUUGCGCCCGCCAGUAUUCUGGCGGGCAUGCCUGUCUGAGCGUCAUUUCAACCCUCACGCCCCUAGGGCGUGGUGUUGGGGAUCGGCCAAAGCCCGCGAGGGACGGCCGGCCCCUAAAUCUAGUGGCGGACCCGUCGUGGCCUCCUCUGCGAAGUAGUGAUAUUCCGCAUCGGAGAGNNAUGAGCCCCUGCCGUUAAACCCCCAACUUUCCAAGGUUGACCUCAGAUCAGGUAGGAAUACCCGCUGAACUUAAGCAUAUCAAUAAGCGGAGGA
rnacentral:misc_RNA from 1 species